UAAAAUACUUUUAAUUGGACACAUUGAAUGACAACUGGCAGUGUGUCACAGUCUUCUUUUCCUCCAUACAAGUAUCCCCCCCACCCCCUUUCACUCUGGCGUUGUAUGCCACGUCUUAAUUUUGCAUUUCCGAAACGGAUCUGCAGUGGUUUUAACAGUAAGACUUUUGUGGCAGUGUGCAUAAAUAUUUUCUGUUGCUGUAAAUUUAAAAGGAAUGAAAAUGGUGAGAGAGGAUACACAUUUGCUUUACUUACAAUGAGAAUGUUCUGGCAUCUAUGUACUGCUGCAACGCUAUUCAUCACAGGCAGUUUUAAAAUUGGCUAACACAUGACAUUACUGGGCAGAAUAUCAAUAGAGAAGACUGCGCUUUCCAUAAAUACCUACUGAUAUACUAGGAACAAAAAAAAAAAUGCAAGUCGCAAAAGUGGCUUUGUGAACUUUUCGGGCCUGAGUAGAAUCACAUUUAAGUUAAACUCUCACAAGCAAAGGCCAUAGGUAUUUACAUGCCUGCGCAUUUCAGUGCCAGGGAUCCCUAAAAAUGUAGCGUGGCACUCAAAUUAAUAACAAAGUUUAUUCUUUAGCCUUCCAUAUGAACAUAAUUACUUCCGAUGUUGACAGUAAGCUGCUCCUGAGAGCUAUCUUCUUAAGUACAAAAAAAAAACACCAUUCCGUCUUUCCCCAAGAAGUCAACUGUGUCACAUGGGAGUAAUAUUGAUUGUCCCAGGAGCCAAAGGCUGGAUUCAUGCUGCAUGGCUCAACUGAAACAAUUUGGAUUUUUUUU